UACAGAGGGUGCGAGCGCUAAUCGGAAUUACUGGGCGUAAAGCGUGCGUAGACGGUUAUUUAAGUCGGGUGUGAAAGCCCCGGGCUCAACCUGGGAAUUGCAUUCGAGACUGAAUAGCUAGGGUACGGUAGAGGGAAGUGGAAUUUCCGGUGUAGCGGUGAAAUGCGUAGAUAUCAGGAAGAACACCCGUGGCGAAAGCGGCUCUCUGGAACGGUACUGACGCUGAGACGCGAAAGCGUGGGGAGCGAACAGG
rnacentral:rRNA from 1 species